AUUUUCAUGUUGUGUUUAUACCGUUUAAUAUGUUAUGUAUAUUCGUCACACAUGGUCACACUUUUAAUUGAAAUGAAAACAAUCAAAGUUUAUAAACUUCAAAUCGAUGUAUAUUUUUUUAUUUUGGAGAAAGUAAACAAUGGCAGUAGUUUUGUUUCUUAAUUCUAAUGGCGAAGAACGAGAACAUGUUCUUAGAAGAAGGAUUAUGGACGCAUCAAAUCCGUUUGAGUUUGACGAUUUAAAAUUUGUAAGGAACUUUCGCCUCAAUAAACGGGCAUUUAAAUAUGUCUUGGAUGAGCUUUCCAUCGAGAUACAGGGGGGAACUUCUUUGUCCAUACCGUAGCACCGUCUUUAGCCCAUGGCUAUUGAACUUCACGGCAGCAUCUCUCCAAAACCGGUCAAUAUCUAUACGGUUUACAGAAAAACCCUUCGCUACCUCCGAAUUCUCCUCCAUUAACCUUAUCAGGAUUUCUUUUUGUUCCCUAUUUGUCCAAUUUGAAUGUGACUGUGCCCUUUAUGAAAUAACAACAAAAAAAACUCGUCAAUAUAACCAAAUUCGUUUAAUUAUCGUAUAAAAAUUGUUAAAACUUACAUAUUUCUUCAGCUAUUCACCAGAAAAUAUCUGAACGACACAAAAAUGACAUUUGGUUCGAAUCACUCGAAAGUCAAAAUUUACUUAGUUUUUUUUUUUUAAAUGAACUUUCGAUUGAAUCAGCAAACUUUCGAAUCGAUCGAAUCUCAAAAUAAAAUCUUCUCGAAUUCGAAUAACAUUCGAUCGAAAACGAAUCUCAAAAUAAGGGUGA